ensembl:snRNA U6 U6 spliceosomal RNA
GUGCUCACCUCGGCAGCACAUACACCAAAACUGAAACAAUUCAGAGGAUGAGCACGGCCCCUGCAUGGGGGUGACACACAAAUUCAUGAAGCAAUCUGCCUUUUU